rnacentral:rRNA from 1 species
UACAGAGGGUGCGAGCGUUGUCCGGAAUCACUGGGCGUAAAGGGCGCGUAGGCGGUCGGAUAAGCGUGCGGUGAAAGCCCGGGGCUCAACCCCGGGUCGGCCGUGCGGACUGUUCGACUGGAGCACUGUAGAGGCAGGUGGAAUUCCGGGUGUAGCGGUGGAAUGCGUAGAGAUCCGGAAGAACACCGGUGGCGAAGGCGGCCCGCUGGGCAGGAAGACCCCGUGAGGGGUCGGCUGAUGCUGAGGCGCGACAGCGUGGGGAGCAAACAGG